GACUACAAAAGAUGGAGCAACAAA
rnacentral:siRNA from 1 species